rnacentral:lncRNA from 1 species
AAAACCAGUGUUGUUUGAAUCAAACAAGAUCGAUCGGGGUAUCAGUUUAGAGAGUGGCUUUAAAUUGGUUAGAUCGAGAAUCGAUACAAAACGGUUGAACCAAUUGAACCGAUGGUUGAAUUGAGUUUUUUUUUUUAAUUUUUUAAUAAUCUUUUAAUAAGAUCGGUUGGAUUGGUGAACCAGUGGCCUAAUCAGUUCAGCCAUCUAUCCAGUUUAAAAAACGUUGGUAAAAACCUAAGAUUUU